AGCGGCAACAGCUCAAAUUUGAAACCUGGCGCAAGCCCGGAUUGUAAUUUGCAGAGGAUGCUUCUGGGCAGCGGCCGUUCUAAGUUCCUUGGAACAGGACGUCAUAGAGGGUGAGAAUCCCGUAUGUGACCGGCGCGCACCCUCCACGUAGCUCCUUCGACGAGUCGAGUUGUUUGGGAAUGCAGCUCUAAAUGGGAGGUAAAUUUCUUCUAAAGCUAAAUAUUGGCCAGAGACCGAUAGCGCACAAGUAGAGUGAUCGAAAGAUGAAAAGCACUUUGGAAAGAGAGUUAAAAAGCACGUGAAAUUGUUGAAAGGGAAGCGCUUCCAACCAGACUCCGCGGCGGUGUUCCGCCGGUCUUCUGACCGGUCUACUCGCCGCCGUGGGGCCAACAUCGUCUGGGGCCGUCGGAUAAGACCGGAGGAAUGUAGCUCAUUAUUGAGUGUUAUAGCCUCCGGUGAUGCGGCGCGUCCCGGGCGAGGUCCGCGCUUCGGCAAGGAUGUUGGCGUAAUGGUUGGCAGCGGC
rnacentral:rRNA from 1 species